ACUAUCGUUAACUGAAUACAUAGGUUAACGAGGCGAACCGGGGGAACUGAAACAUCUAAGUACCCCGAGGAAAAGAAAUCAACCGAGAUUCCCCCAGUAGCGGCGAGCGAACGGGGAGCAGCCCAGAGUCUGAAUCAGCUUGUGUGUUAGUGGAACGGUCUGGAAAGUCCGACGGUACAGGGUGAUAGUCCCGUACACCAAAAUGCACAGGCUGUGAACUCGAAGAGUAGGGCGGGACACGUGGUAUCCUGUCUGAAUAUGGGGGGACCAUCCUCCAAGGCUAAAUACUCCUGACUGACCGAUAGUGAACCAGUACCGUGAGGGAAAGGCGAAAAGAACCCCGGCGAGGGGAGUGAAAAAGAACCUGAAACCGUGUACGUACAAGCAGUGGGAGCACCUUCGGGUGUGACUGCGUACCUUUUGUAUAAUGGGUCAGCGACUUAUAUUCUGUAGCAAGGUUAACCGUAUAGGGGAGCCGCAGGGAAACCGAGUCUUAACUGGGCGUUAAGUUGCAGGGUAUAGACCCGAAACCCGGUGAUCUAGCCAUGGGCAGGUUGAAGGUUGGGUAACACUAACUGGAGGACCGAACCGACUAAUGUUGAAAAAUUAGCGGAUGACUUGUGGCUGGGGGUGAAAGGCCAAUCAAACCGGGAGAUAGCUGGUUCUCCCCGAAAGCUAUUUAGGUAGCGCCUCGUGAACUCAUCUUCGGGGGUAGAGCACUGUUUCGGCUAGGGGGUCAUCCCGACUUACCAACCCGAUGCAAACUACGAAUACCGAAGAAUGUUAUCACGGGAGACACACGGCGGGUGCUAACGUCCGUCGUGAAGAGGGAAACAACCCAGACCGCCAGCUAAGGUCCCAAAGUCAUGGUUAAGUGGGAAACGAUGUGGGAAGGCACAGACAGCCAGGAUGUUGGCUUAGAAGCAGCCAUCAUUUAAAGAAAGCGUAAUAGCUCACUGGUCGAGUCGGCCUGCGCGGAAGAUGUAACGGGGCUAAACCAUGCACCGAAGCUGCGGCAGCGACACUAUGUGUUGUUGGGUAGGGGAGCG
rnacentral:rRNA from 1 species